rnacentral:rRNA from 1 species
CACGUAGGGUGCGAGCGUUGUCCGGAAUUAUUGGGCGUAAAGAGCUCGUAGGCGGUGUGUCGCGUCGGCCGUGAAAACCUGCAGCUUAACUGUGGGCGUGCGGUCGAUACGGGCAUCACUGGAGUUCGGCAGGGGAGACUGGAAUUCCUGGUGUAGCGGUGAAAUGCGCAGGUAUCAGGAGGAACACCGGUGGCGAAGGCGGGUCUCUGGGCCGAUACUGACGCUGAGGCGCGAAAGCCAGGGGAGCGAACGGG